GGCUAAGUUUUUCAGGGCGCAUGGUGGAUGCCUUGGCAACAGGAGCCGAUGAAGGACGUGGGAAUCUGCGAUAAGCCUGGGGGAGUCGAUAACCGGACGUUGAUCCCAGGAUGUCCGAAUGGGGAAACCCCGCACGACGUUGUUCGUGUGACCGCCGGUUGAACACAUAGGCCGGUUGGAGGGAACGCAGGGAAGUGAAACAUCUCAGUACCUGCAGGAAGAGAAAACAAAAUGUGAUUCCGUGAGUAGUGGCGAGCGAAAGCGGAUGGGGCUAAACCGUUCACGCGUGAUACCCGGCAGGGGUUGCGUGGUCGGGGUUGUGGGACUUUUCGUGAUGGUUCUGCCGGACUGUCGUGGUGAGGUGCGGGUGUAUAGGCGAACAGCUUUGGAUGGCUGACCGUAGAGGGUGAGAGUCCCGUAGUUGUAAUGCAUUCCGCCGCUUAGAGAAUGUUCCCGAGUAGCACGGGGCCCGAGAAAUCCCGUGUGAAUCUGCCAGGACCACCUGGUAAGCCUGAAUACUACCUGUUGACCGAUAGCGGAUCAGUACCGUGAGGGAAUGGUGAAAAGCACCCCGGGAGGGGAGUGAAAUAGUACCUGAAACCAUGUGCCUACAAUCCGUCGGAGCCUGGCCUUCCUUUUGGGGGGGUGUGGGUGACGGCGUGCCUUUUGAAGAAUGAGCCUGCGAGUUAGUGCUGUGUCGCGAGGUUAACCCGUGUGGGGAAGCCGUAGCGAAAGCGAGUCUGAAUAGGGCGUUUGAGUGGCACGGUCUAGACCCGAAGCGGAGUGAUCUACCCAUGGCCAGGUUGAAGCGCGUGUAAGAGCGCGUGGAGGACCGAACCCACUUCAGUUGAAAAUGGAGGGGAUGAGCUGUGGGUAGGGGUGAAAGGCCAAUCAAACUCCGUGAUAGCUGGUUCUCCCCGAAAUGCAUUUAGGUGCAGCGUCACGUGUUUCUUCCCGGAGGUAGAGCUACUGGAUGGCAGAUGGGCCCUACAAGGUUACUGACGUCAGCCAAACUCCGAAUGCCGGGAAGUCAGAGCGUGGCAGUGAGACCGUGGGGGAUAAGCUUCAUGGUCGAGAGGGAAACAGCCCAGACCACCGGUUAAGGCCCCUAAGCGUGUGCUAAGUGGGAAAGGAUGUGGAGUUGCUGUGACAACCAGGAGGUUGGCUUAGAAGCAGCCACCCUUGAAAGAGUGCGUAAUAGCUCACUGGUCAAGUGAUUCCGCGCCGACAAUGUAGCGGGGCUCAAGCACACCGCCGAAACCGUGGCAAUCAGAAGUUUUUCUGGUUGGGUAGGGGAGCGUCGUGUACGAGGUGAAGCCAGGGCGGAAGCGUUGGUGGAUUGUGCACGAGUGAGAAUGCAGGCAUGAGUAGCGAAAGACGGGUGAGAAACCCGUCCGCCGGAUGACCAAGGGUUCCAGGGUCAAGCUAAUCUGCCCUGGGUAAGUCGGGACCUAAGGCGAGGCCGACAGGCGUAGUCGAUGGACAACGGGUUGAUAUUCCCGUACCGGCGAAGAACCGCCCCUGCUGAACCGGUGAUACUAACCGCCCGAGCCUUCCUAGACACCCUUCGGGGUGCGUGGGAGGUAAGCGCGGGACCUGAACCGGCAAGGCAAGCGUAUUAACAGGUGUGACGCAGGAAGGUAGCCGGGCCAGGCAAUGGAAAUGACCUGGUCCAAGGGCGUAGGGUGUCCGGUUGGUAAAUCCGCCGGGCGUGAAGCCUGAGACCCGAUAGGCCCCCACUAGGUGGGGGAUCCGGUGAUCCUAUGCUGCCAAGAAAAGCAUCGACGCGAGGUUCUAGCCGCCCGUACCCCAAACCGACACAGGUGGUCAGGUAGAGAAUACUAAGGCGAUCGAGAGAAUCAUGGUUAAGGAACUCGGCAAAAUGCCCCCGUAACUUCGGGAGAAGGGGGGCCCCAACCUUGAAGGAACCACGCGUUCCGGAGGGGAUCGGGGCCGCAGAGACCAGGGGGAAGCGACUGUUUAUCAAAAACACAGGUCCGUGCGAAGUCGCAAGACGAUGUAUACGGACUGACUCCUGCCCGGUGCUGGAAGGUUAAGAGGACCUGUUAGCCGUAAGGCGAAGCGGAGAAUUUAAGCCCCAGUAAACGGCGGUGGUAACUAUAACCAUCCUAAGGUAGCGAAAUUCCUUGUCGGGUAAGUUCCGACCUGCACGAAUGGAGUAACGACUUCCCCGCUGUCUCAACCGUGAACUCGGCGAAAUUGCACUACGAGUAAAGAUGCUCGUUACGCGCAGAAGGACGGAAAGACCCCGAGACCUUUACUAUAGUUUGGUAUUGGUGUUCGGUGUGGCUUGUGUAGGAUAGGUGGGAGACGUUGAAGCUGGGACGCUAGUUCUGGUGGAGUCAUCGUUGAAAUACCACUCUGGUCACUCUGGACAUCUAACUUCGGCCCGUGAUCCGGGUCAGGGACAGUGCCUGAUGGGUAGUUUAACUGGGGCGGUUGCCUCCCAAAAUGUAACGGAGGCGCCCAAAGGUCCCCUCAGCCUGGUUGGCAAUCAGGUGUCGAGUGCAAGUGCACAAGGGGGCUUGACUGUGAGAGAGGCAUCUCGAGCAGGGACGAAAGUCGGGACUAGUGAUCCGGCGGCACCUCGUGGAAGGGCCGUCGCUCAACGGAUAAAAGGUACCUCGGGGAUAACAGGCUGAUCUUGCCCAAGAGUCCAUAUCGACGGCAUGGUUUGGCACCUCGAUGUCGGCUCGUCGCAUCCUGGGGCUGGAGUAGGUCCCAAGGGUUGGGCUGUUCGCCCAUUAAAGCGGUACGCGAGCUGGGUUCAGAACGUCGUGAGACAGUUCGGUCCCUAUCCUCUGCGCGCGCAGGAAAUUUGAGAAGGUCUGUCCUUAGUACGAGAGGACCGGGACGGACGAACCUCUGGUAUGUCAGUUGUACCGCCAGGUGCACCGCUGAUUAGCUACGUUCGGGACGGAUAACCGCUGAAAGCAUCUAAGCGGGAAGCCAGCUUCGAGAUGAGAUUUCCACACGGAUUUUCCGUGGGAGGCCCCCAGCAGAUCACUGGGUUGAUAGGCCGGACGUGGAAGCAAGGACUAACGACUUGCGAAGCCGACCGGUACUAAUAGGCCGAUAACUUACACAC
rnacentral:rRNA from 1 species